UACGUAGGGGGCAAGCGUUGUCCGGAAUCAUUGGGCGUAAAGAGCGUGUAGGCGGCCUGGUAAGUCCGCUGUGAAAGUCCAGGGCUCAACCCUGGAAUGCCGGUGGAAACUGUCAGGCUCGAGUCCGGAAGAGGCGAGUGGAAUUCCUGGUGUAGCGGUGGAAUGCGCAGAUAUCAGGAGGGACACCAAUAGCGAAGGCAGCUCGCUGGGACGUGACUGACGCUGAGACGCGAAAGCGUGGGGGAGCAAACAGG
rnacentral:rRNA from 1 species